ensembl:lncRNA
UGAGAUGGUGUCGGUUUUAUUCAAUUCCACUGAGGCUGACUGGAGUUUGUACUGUAUGUGUAGUGGUGUGUGGGUAAAAUCACUAGGAAAGCACCCCCCCACAAAAAAAAAAAAGGCAGAUUUAAACCUGUGUUGUGAUAAUUGUGAUGUUUGCUCUAUAACAUAUAUACAUGAACCUUGAGACUGUGAUAUAUAAUCAUGGACGGAGACACAUUUAGAAAGAUCCUGUCGUACUGCAUUUUAUUAUUGAAUACAAAGAAAAACAAGACACGUGUAUAAAUGCAUUGCUUCAAAACUACUCUUAGUAGCCUCAGUAAGAAGACACUUAUCCACAGCAAAAUAUUACAACCCCCUUUUUUUAAAGAAACAUAGCAUUUGAAAUAAAUACGUUUGGAUGAUAACAUCUUGCUGAUUGCAUUGGGGGCAAUGCACUUUCACACUAUUUACAGUUUAAAUCUGACUAAAUAAUCAUCACCGUCUCACAGACCCUCAGUGCUCACAGAAACUGUUGCCCUUUACAUUCAAACCUCAUCCCUUCAUCGUCACAUUCUAUUUUUAAAUGUGCUUUUGUCAAGGAACCAAAAGUGAAAACUACACAUUUUUCCCAUUACCAGAAUGUACAGUGUACUGUAUACUGUAUAAAGACAGGACAAUGUACCAGAUAUAACUUGGUGUCAAACAGAAUAUGAAUGUGACCAACAUGUCCCUCUUGAAGGUGACAUAAAGUAGACUAUACAGGUUACAUAGAGUAGACUGUACAGGUUACAUAAAGUAGACUAUACAGGUUACAUAGAGUAGACUAUACAGGUUACAUAAAGUAGACUAUACAGGUUACAUAGAGUAGACUAUACAGGUUACAUAAAGUAGACUAUACAGGUUACAUAGAGUAGACUAUACAGGUUACAUAAAGUAGACUAUACAGGUUACAUAGAGUAGACUGUACAGGUUACAUAAAGUAGACUAGACAGGUUACAUAAAGUAGACUAUACAGGUUACAUAAAGUAGACUAUACAGGUUACAUAGAGUAGACUGUACAGGUUACAUAAAGUAGACUAUACAGGUUACAUAAAGUAGACUAUACAGGUUACAUAAAGUAGACUAUAGAGGUCACAUAAAGUAGACUAUAGAGGUCACAUAAAGUAGACUAUACAGGCUACAUAAAGUAGACUAUACAGGUUACAUAGAGUAGACUAUACAGGUUACAUAGAGUAGACUAUACAGGCUACAUAAAGUAGACUAUACAGGUUACAUAAAGUAGACUAUACAGGUUACAUAGAGUAGACUAUACAGGUUACAUAAAGUAGACUAUACAGGUUACAUAGAGUAGACUAGACAGGUUACAUAAAGUAGACUAUACAGGCUACAUAAAGUAGACUAUACAGGUUACAUAAAGUAGACUGUACAGGUUACAUAAAGUAGACUAUACAGGCUACAUAGAGUAGACUAGACAGGUCACAUAAAGUAGACUAUACAGGUUAAAUAAAGUAGACUAUAGAGGUCACAUGAAGUAGACUAUAGAGGUCACAUAAAGUAGACUAUACAGGCUACAUAAAGUAGACUAUACAGGUUACAUAAAGUAGACUAUAGAGGUCACAUAAAGUAGACUAUAGAGGUCACAUAAAGUAGACUAUACAGGCUACAUAAAGUAGACUAUACAGGUUACAUAGAGUAGACUAUACAGGUUACAUAAAGUAGACUAUACAGGCUACAUAAAGUAGACUAUACAGGUUACAUAGAGUAGACUGUACAGGUUACAUAAAAUAGACUAUACAGGUUACAUAAAGUAGACUAUACAGGUUACAUAGAGUAGACUAUAGAGGUCACAUAAAGUAGACUAUACAGGUUAAAUAAAGUAGACUAUAGAGGUCACAUAAAGUAGACUAUACAGGUUACAUAAAGUAGACUAUACAGGCUACAUAAAGUAGACUAUACAGGUUACAUAGAGUAGACUGUACAGGCUACAUAAAGUAGACUAUACAGGUUACAUAGAGUAGACUAUACAGGUUACAUAAAGUAGACUAUGCAGGCUACAUAAAGUAGACUAUACAGGUUACAUAGAGUAGACUAUACAGGUUACAUAAAGUAGACUAUAGAGGUCACAUAAAGUAGACUGUACAGGUUACAUAAAAUAGACUAUACAGGCUACAUAGAUUAGAUUAUACAGGUUACAUAAAGUAGACUAUACAGGUUACAUAAAGUAGACUAUACAGGCUACAUAAAGUAGACUAUACAGGUUACAUAAAGUAGACUAUACAGGUUACAUAAAGUAGACUAUACAGGUUACAUAAAGUAGACGAUACAGGUUACAUAAAGUAGACUAUAGAGGUCACAUAAAGUAGACUAUACAGGUUACAUAAAGUAGACUAUACAGGUUACAUAAAGUAGACUAUACAGGUUACAUAAAGUAGACUAUACAGGUUACAUAAAGACUAUACAGGACUAAAUACAGGU